CAUUGCUUGGAGCAGUGCGUCGCCAGAACUUGAAGAGGAGAAGAGCACGUCAGUGAAGACUGCAGUCCAGUGAGAAAGAUCCCAACAAGGGUUGCAACGCCAUUGACUUUGGUUUCAAGUCCUGUUUAUGUUAAUAUUGAUUUGUUGUUGCACUUCUACGUGUUUACCAUAGAAAUACAUGUGUGCAUGACAUAGAUGGUCCUCUCCUGGUUCUUUUGGUUUCUGGUUGUAGUUAUAUUUUUCAAGUUGGAACAAUCAAGCCAGAAGAGAUGGAGACAAGAAACUUCUGAUCUCAUGUCACGACCCUUGGUCAUGGUCGUGACUCCUUGGGUGCCGCAUGCUGUUGCCCGCGGUUUGGG